rnacentral:rRNA from 1 species
ACGGAAGGCAGCAGUGGGGAAUAUUGCACAAUGGGGGAAACCCUGAUGCAGCAACGCCGCGUGAGUGAAGAAGUAUUUCGGUAUGUAAAGCUCUAUCAGCAGGGAAGAAAAUGACGGUACCUGAGUAAGAAGCCCCGGCUAACUACGUGCCAGCAGCCGCGGUAAUACGUAGGGGGCAAGCGUUAUCCGGAUUUACUGGGUGUAAAGGGAGCGCAGACGGUUAAGCAAGUCUGAAGUGAAAGCCUGGGGCUCAACCCCGGAACUGCUUUGGAAACUGUUUGACUUGAGUGCUGGAGAGGUAAGCGGAAUUCCUAGUGUAGCGGUGAAAUGCGUAGAUAUUAGGAAGAACACCGGUGGCGAAGGCGGCUUACUGGACAGUAACUGACGUUGAGGCUCGAAAGCGUGGGGAGCAAACAGGAUUAGAUACCCUGGUA